AUUGAACGCUGGCGGCAGGCCUAACACAUGCAAGUCGAAUGGUAACAGGAAACAGCUUGCUGUUUCGCUGACGAGUGGCGGACGGGUGAGUAAUGUCUGGGAAACUGCCUGAUGGAGGGGGAUAACUACUGGAAACGGUAGCUAAUACCGCAUAACGUCGCAAGACCAAAGAGGGGGACCUUCGGGCCUCUUGCCAUCAGAUGUGCCCAGAUGGGAUUAGCUAGUAGGUGGGGUAACGGCUCACCUAGGCGACGAUCCCUAGCUGGUCUGAGAGGAUGACCAGCCACACUGGAACUGAGACACGGUCCAGACUCCUACGGGAGGCACCAGUGGGGAAUAUUGCACAAUGGGCGCAAGCCUGAUGCAGCCAUGCCGCGUGUAUGAAGAAGGCCUUCGGGUUGUAAAGUACUUUCAGCGGGGAGGAAGGGAGUAAAGUUAAUACCUUUGCUCAUUGACGUUACCCGCAGAAGAAGCACCGGCUAACUCCGUG
rnacentral:rRNA from 1 species